CCAAAACUGAAUAAAAAUGGCGCAAACAUAAUUUGUAAAGUACCAGUAACAACACCCUAAAACCGUGUAACUUUAAAACACACGCAGUAACCUAUAAUGAACACGGAUUUAAAAAUCCCCCCAAAACGAUUCACUAUAGAACAGUGUUAUUUGUUCACAAGUAGGAAGAUUGUUUCCUUUUUGGAUGGAAACAUUUGGUCACUUAUAUAUAUUGAUUUUUCAUUCACAUUCACAUGGUUUUAUUAAUGUUUUACGCACCUAUAAAUUAGAUUUGUCUACAAUGUAUAUACCCAUAAUAUGGGUAUUUGGGAUGCAAAACAAACAUUCACUGUGUACACAUGAGGUUAAUCCUGGACCCCAUUGACUGUACAUAAACAGAUCCAGUCCUGUUUUCCAUCCUAUAUCGGUGCCGGGUACAGGCAAAUAUCAGGCCACCACAUGUAAGCAAGAACCUGCCUCGAACCCUUCCUGAUUUCGGAGGGACAGUCUAGAUUUUCAGGUCCUGAGAC